AUUGAACGCUGGCGGCAGGCCUAACACAUGCAAGUCGAACGGUAACAGGAAACAGCUUGCUGUUUCGCUGACGAGUGGCGGACGGGUGAGUAAUGUCUGGGAAACUGCCUGAUGGAGGGGGAUAACUACUGGAAACGGUAGCUAAUACCGCAUAACGUCGCAAGACCAAAGAGGGGGACCUUCGGGCCUCUUGCCAUCGGAUGUGCCCAGAUGGGACUAGCUAGUAGGUGGGGUAACGGCUCACCUAGGCGACGAUCCCUAGCUGGUCUGAGAGGAUGACCAGCCACACUGGAACUGAGACACGGUCCAGACUCCUACGGGAGGCAGCAGUGGGGAAUAUUGCACAAUGGGCGCAAGCCUGAUGCAGCCAUGCCGCGUGUAUGAAGAAGGCCUUCGGGUCGUAAAGCUCUGUUGUUAGGGAAGAACAAGUACGAGAGUAACUGCUCAUACCUUGACGGUACCUAACCAGAAAGCCACGGCUAACUACGUGCCAGCAGCCGCGGUAAUACGUAGGUGGCAAGCGUUGUCCGGAAUUAUUGGGCGUAAAGCGCGCGCAGGUGGUUCUUUAAGUCUGAUGUGAAAGCCCACGGCUCAACCGUGGAGGGUCAUUGGAAACUGGGGAACUUGAGUGCAGAAGAGGAAAGUGGAAUUCCAAGUGUAGCGGUGAAAUGCGUAGAGAUUUGGAGGAACACCAGUGGCGAAGGCGACUUUCUGGUCUGUAACUGACACUGAGGCGCGAAAGCGUGGGGAGCAAACAGGAUUAGAUACCCUGGUAGUCCACGCCGUAAACGAUG
rnacentral:rRNA from 1 species